rnacentral:rRNA from 1 species
UACGAAGGGGGGCUAGCGUUGCUCGGAAUUACUGGGCGUAAAGAGCUCGUAGGUGGUUUGUCGCGUUGUCCGUGAAAACUCACAACUCAAUUGUGGGCGUGCGGGCGAUACGGGCAGACUGGAGUACUGCAGGGGAGACUGGAAUUCCUGGUGUAGCGGUGGAAUGCGCAGAGUAUCGAGAGGAACACCUGCGGCGAAGGCGGGUUGCUGGGCUGACACGUGACGCUGAACUGCGAAAGCUAGGGGAGCGAACGGG